CUCUAAGGAGACUGCCGGUGAUAAACCGGAGGAAGGUGGGGACGACGUCAAGUCAUCAUGGCCCUUACGGGUAGGGAUACACACGUGCUACAAUGGCGAAUACAGAGGGCAGAGAAAUUGCGAGGGAAUGCGUAUCACUUAAAUUCGUAGUAGUCUGGAUUGGAGUCUGCAACUCGACUCCAGGAA
rnacentral:rRNA from 1 species